rnacentral:rRNA from 1 species
GUUCCUACGGGGCACAGCAGUGGGGAAUAUUGCACAAUGGGGGGAACCCUGAUGCAGCGACGCCGCGUGAGUGAAGAAGGGUUUCGGCUCGUAAAGCCCUGUUGGUAGUGAAGAAAGAUAGAGGUAGUAACUGGCCUUUAUUUGACGGUAAUUACUUAGAAAGUCACGGCUAACUACGUGCCAGCAGCCGCGGUAAUACGUAGGUGGCAAGCGUUGUCCGGAUUUAUUGGGCGUAAAGCGAGUGCAGGCGGGUCAAUAAGUCUGCUGU